UGUAAAACUGGGAAAUGAUCAGUUGUCACAUGUCAUUAGUCUACUCAUAUAAGUUUAUUCUAUAUUACAGUGACGUGCGGUGAGUUUGUAAUGAUUUAUUUGUAGGGACAUGAACACUUUAGUAAACAUACGUGUUAAUAUAUAAACACAUCAAUAAAUAUUCUAGCCACCACCAUGUUACAUCAUUAGCAGCUAAGAGCUUCACCUUAAAAAAGACCAAAUGUAAACAGUUUGAUGUUGAUCACCUUCAUCACAUUAUUACCACAAAUAUGGCAUUAAAGAUUUGGACAGAAUAUUAAACCAAAUCAACUUCACAGUUUUUCUCUUCUGAUGAGCCACAUCCAUAAAAAUAAACACUAAUAUUUGAUCUGAUUUGUUGACAACAACAUGACAUUAAAUCUGCUGUUUUGAAGCUCUGUCAAUAAUAUGAAAAUAUAGAUUUUGCAUCAAAAACCUUCAUUAGUUUUAUAAUUAAUCACCAGUUUAACCUUCAGGAAACUUCCAGGAUGUUUCCAGAACAUUCCAGGUCUCCCUGAACUGACUCCUGUUUUUUAAACCAGACUGCAGAUUUAACCACGCCCACUUUCCUGUGUUAAAGUUGUUUAUUAACCCACAUAUUUAUCAAACCACAUAUAAGGAAAUACUUGAACAGAAAUGUUGGUAAACUCUAUGAAUUUAUCAUUUACGGAAAUGUCCCUUUUUUUCCCUUUUAACAGUUAAAAACUUUAUCAGAAAUAAUCUUUUAAUCAACAUCUCACCAGAUUUAGAUUUCAAGUAGUUUCAUCAAAUAUGACUAAAACCAGGUUUGACACCACAUAGUUAUGUCAUCAUUCACCUCAUGAUCUGUGGUCCGGAGUAUUUUCCUUCUAUACGGUAUAUUCAUUGGUCCAGGUAGAACAAUCCAGAACAUUCUUUCUUUGGCCCCGCCCAUUUCCCCAGAGCCCCCACUCCUGCACACACUGACCACACCCUCUUCACCUGCAGCAGGUUUGACCUUUGGAAUUUUUAUCUUUAUUUUUUUUACUAACUAAAGCAGCCGUUUUAAUCUUCAACAGUCAUAAUGAGCAUAAAAAUAUCUGCAUUUGUUGUUUCAUGACAUCAUUACUGAGGUUUCUUCACUAAAAUAUUUAAAGUUUUUUAUUUCAUUGCUGACACCAUUUUUAAUUAUUUGAAUUAAUUUAAAUAGAUUUCCUUUAGUUACACAAUAACUGCUAGGAUUACGAUCAAAAGCAAACAUUUAUCCCAAGAAUCUUCUGGUUUUUGUUGUUUCUCUUCGCCACUGAAACAGAAAUAACUGGAGGAAAUC